GACGAACCGUGCGAACGUUGUUCGGAAUCACUGGGCUUAAAGGGCGCGUAGGCGGAUCAGCAAGUCCGGGGUGAAAUCUUUCGGCUCAACCGGAAAAGUGCCUUGGAUACUGCUGGUCUCGAGGGAGGUAGGGGUAUGUGGAACUUCUGGUGGAGCGGUGAAAUGCGUUGAUAUCAGAAGGAACGCCGGUGGCGAAAGCGACGUACUGGACCUCUUCUGACGCUGAGGCGCGAAAGCUAGGGGAGCAAACGGG
rnacentral:rRNA from 1 species